rnacentral:rRNA from 1 species
UACGUAGGGGGCAAGCGUUGUCCGGAUUUAUUGGGCGUAAAGAGCGUGUAGGCGGCUAGGUAGGUCCGUUGUGAAAACUCGAGGCUCAACCUCGAGCUGUCGAUGGAAACCAUCUGGCUAGAGUCCGGAAGAGGAGAGUGGAAUUCCUGGUGUAGCGGUGAAAUGCGCAGAUAUCAGGAAGAACACCCGUGGCGAAGGCGGCUCUCUGGUACGUGACUGACGCUGAGACGCGAAAGCGUGGGGAGCGAACAGG